GUGGGUUGUACUAGAAGUCCGCACGCCGACCGCAAGGGGGCAGCGGCCCAAGGUAUGACUCAUGAUUGGGGUGAAGUCGUAACAAGGUAGCCGUAGGUGAACCUGCAGAAGGAUCA
rnacentral:rRNA from 1 species